rnacentral:pre_miRNA from 1 species
AUGUCUUAUAUCUUAACUGUUGGAUUAGGCUAACUAAUUUGAUUCAACGACUGACUAAUUUGAUCCAACGAUUAAGAGAUAAAACCUUAUAUAAGGGCCAUAUAUAAGGCCA